GAUAGAGAACUAUCAACACACAGCAAGUCACUGCACAACAGCGAACACGUGCUUCCAGAGCAUCUCAUCUCCGUGCGUAACAGUAAGUGAGCACUGGUUUUGAGAUCGGUGCGUAAAAGUUCGGGGGCGUUGCUGUGAGAUCCGUGUGCAGAAUUCAGUUUUGCUAUGGAGCGUUUUGAAGCUACACUAUGGAGAAACGUUUAGAGAAAUGAAACUUGAUGACCGAACAAGCAAAGGGAUCUGUGUUAUCGGCGUGACAGCGACAAGUCUGAUGAUGACGUAUCAGAGGAAGACAGCGACACGUCGUUUGACUACGAGGCAGACGCCAUGUUUCAGGAAGGACGAGACAUUACUCUUGACAAGUCCAUCGAGGUUCAUGGGUGCUGACAUCCUGAUAGGGCACUACAAAGUCCUCCACAAGCCUCCUCCUGCAGUCGUGACUGCUACAAUGGCUGGCAUGUAUCCAAAAAUUUGAAAGAUGUAUAUUUGAAUAAAUUUUUAACCAUA